UUAAGCGACUAAGCGUACACGGUGGAUGCCCUGGCAGUCAGAGGCGAUGAAGGACGUGCUAAUCUGCGAUAAGCGUCGGUAAGGUGAUAUGAACCGUUAUAACCGGCGAUUUCCGAAUGGGGAAACCCAGUGUGAUUCGUCACACUAUCAUUAACUGAAUCCAUAGGUUAAUGAGGCGAACCGGGGGAACUGAAACAUCUAAGUACCCCGAGGAAAAGAAAUCAACCGAGAUUCCCCCAGUAGCGGCGAGCGAACGGGGAGCAGCCCAGAGCCUGAAUCAGUGUGUGUGUUAGUGGAAGCGUCUGGAAAGGCGUGCGAUACAGGGUGACAGCCCCGUACACAAAAAUGCACAUACUGUGAGCUCGAUGAGUAGGGCGGGACACGUGGUAUCCUGUCUGAAUAUGGGGGGACCAUCCUCCAAGGCUAAAUACUCCUGACUGACCGAUAGUGAACCAGUACCGUGAGGGAAAGGCGAAAAGAACCCCGGCGAGGGGAGUGAAAAAGAACCUGAAACCGUGUACGUACAAGCAGUGGGAGCACGCUUAGGCGUGUGACUGCGUACCUUUUGUAUAAUGGGUCAGCGACUUAUAUUCUGUAGCAAGGUUAACCGAAUAGGGGAGCCGAAGGGAAACCGAGUCUUAACUGGGCGUUAAGUUGCAGGGUAUAGACCCGAAACCCGGUGAUCUAGCCAUGGGCAGGUUGAAGGUUGGGUAACACUAACUGGAGGACCGAACCGACUAAUGUUGAAAAAUUAGCGGAUGACUUGUGGCUGGGGGUGAAAGGCCAAUCAAACCGGGAGAUAGCUGGUUCUCCCCGAAAGCUAUUUAGGUAGCGCCUCGUGAAUUCAUCUCCGGGGGUAGAGCACUGUUUCGGCAAGGGGGUCAUCCCGACUUACCAACCCGAUGCAAACUGCGAAUACCGGAGAAUGUUAUCACGGGAGACACACGGCGGGUGCUAACGUCCGUCGUGAAGAGGGAAACAACCCAGACCGCCAGCUAAGGUCCCAAAGUCAUGGUUAAGUGGGAAACGAUGUGGGAAGGCCCAGACAGCCAGGAUGUUGGCUUAGAAGCAGCCAUCAUUUAAAGAAAGCGUAAUAGCUCACUGGUCGAGUCGGCCUGCGCGGAAGAUGUAACGGGGCUAAACCAUGCACCGAAGCUGCGGCAGCGACACUAUGUGUUGUUGGGUAGGGGAGCGUUCUGUAAGCCUGUGAAGGUGUACUGUGAGGUAUGCUGGAGGUAUCAGAAGUGCGAAUGCUGACAUAAGUAACGAUAAAGCGGGUGAAAAGCCCGCUCGCCGGAAGACCAAGGGUUCCUGUCCAACGUUAAUCGGGGCAGGGUGAGUCGACCCCUAAGGCGAGGCCGAAAGGCGUAGUCGAUGGGAAACAGGUUAAUAUUCCUGUACUUGGUGUUACUGCGAAGGGGGGACGGAGAAGGCUAUGUUGGCCGGGCGACGGUUGUCCCGGUUUAAGCGUGUAGGCUGGUUUUCCAGGCAAAUCCGGAAAAUCAAGGCUGAGGCGUGAUGACGAGGCACUACGGUGCUGAAGCAACAAAUGCCCUGCUUCCAGGAAAAGCCUCUAAGCAUCAGGUAACAUCAAAUCGUACCCCAAACCGACACAGGUGGUCAGGUAGAGAAUACCAAGGCGCUUGAGAGAACUCGGGUGAAGGAACUAGGCAAAAUGGUGCCGUAACUUCGGGAGAAGGCACGCUGAUAUGUAGGUGAAGUCCCUCGCGGAUGGAGCUGAAAUCAGUCGAAGAUACCAGCUGGCUGCAACUGUUUAUUAAAAACACAGCACUGUGCAAACACGAAAGUGGACGUAUACGGUGUGACGCCUGCCCGGUGCCGGAAGGUUAAUUGAUGGGGUUAGCGCAAGCGAAGCUCUUGAUCGAAGCCCCGGUAAACGGCGGCCGUAACUAUAACGGUCCUAAGGUAGCGAAAUUCCUUGUCGGGUAAGUUCCGACCUGCACGAAUGGCGUAAUGAUGGCCAGGCUGUCUCCACCCGAGACUCAGUGAAAUUGAACUCGCUGUGAAGAUGCAGUGUACCCGCGGCAAGACGGAAAGACCCCGUGAACCUUUACUAUAGCUUGACACUGAACAUUGAGCCUUGAUGUGUAGGAUAGGUGGGAGGCUUUGAAGUGUGGACGCCAGUCUGCAUGGAGCCGACCUUGAAAUACCACCCUUUAAUGUUUGAUGUUCUAACGUUGACCCGUAAUCCGGGUUGCGGACAGUGUCUGGUGGGUAGUUUGACUGGGGCGGUCUCCUCCUAAAGAGUAACGGAGGAGCACGAAGGUUGGCUAAUCCUGGUCGGACAUCAGGAGGUUAGUGCAAUGGCAUAAGCCAGCUUGACUGCGAGCGUGACGGCGCGAGCAGGUGCGAAAGCAGGUCAUAGUGAUCCGGUGGUUCUGAAUGGAAGGGCCAUCGCUCAACGGAUAAAAGGUACUCCGGGGAUAACAGGCUGAUACCGCCCAAGAGUUCAUAUCGACGGCGGUGUUUGGCACCUCGAUGUCGGCUCAUCACAUCCUGGGGCUGAAGUAGGUCCCAAGGGUAUGGCUGUUCGCCAUUUAAAGUGGUACGCGAGCUGGGUUUAGAACGUCGUGAGACAGUUCGGUCCCUAUCUGCCGUGGGCGCUGGAGAAUUGAGGGGGGCUGCUCCUAGUACGAGAGGACCGGAGUGGACGCAUCACUGGUGUUCGGGUUGUCAUGCCAAUGGCACUGCCCGGUAGCUAAAUGCGGAAGAGAUAAGUGCUGAAAGCAUCUAAGCACGAAACUUGCCCCGAGAUGAGUUCUCCCUGACUCCUUGAGAGUCCUGAAGGAACGUUGAAGACGACGACGUUGAUAGGCCGGGUGUGUAAGCGCAGCGAUGCGUUGAGCUAACCGGUACUAAUGAACCGUGAGGCUUAACCU
rnacentral:rRNA from 1 species